UUUUUUUUUUUUUUUUUUAGAGACCAGUCUUGCUAUGUUGCCCAGGCUGGUCUCAAACUCCUUGGCUCAGGUGAUCAUGCCUCAGCCUCCUGAGUAGCUGGGACUACAAGUGCGUGCCACCAUUCCUUGCUUAGUGCUUUCUGUCUUUUAUAGUUAAGGGUAUUUCCUACUGAAUUAUUCAAUAUCCUUCACAUAAGGGAAAAGAAAAAAGCCCAGCCAGGAAUAUUGCCACCCUAGGCCUUCCUUGCUUGAGUUUCCAUUUAUCACCAUCAUCUCUUAUUAAGGAAUUUCUAGUUCUUGAGUGAGAAAGUUCAUUCCUCCCAGUCCUUCAGAGGACUCUGAUCCUCAUUUUCAGCCUUCACACACUCCAGGUUACCAUGGUCCAGGAGCCGUGUAGGGUGCUAAGCUUAUAAUGUCAUCCCUAAUGGGAAAGAAUCCAUGGACAGUGGACAUCGCCCAUGCAGAGUGACAGGUGGUAGGAUAGGAGGUAGAGUGUGGCAAAAAGGCAGAUGUCAGCCAGGCGCGGUGGCUCAUCCCUGUAAUCUCAGCCCUUUGGGAGGCCGAAGCGAGCAGAUGAGGUCAGGAGUUCAAGACCAGCUUGGCCAACAUGGCAAAACCUGUCUAUACUAAAAAUAAAGAAAAUUAGCUGGGUGUGGCGGUGCCUGCCUGUAAUCCCAGCUACUACAGAGGCUGAGGCAGGAGAAUCACUUAAACCCAGGGGGUGGAGGUUGCAGUGAGCUGAGAUUGCACCACUGCACCCCAGCCUGGGCAACACAGUGAGACUCCAUCUCAAAAAAAAAAAAAGAGAAAAAAGAAAAAAGCAGAUGUGGUCAUCUCUUUCCGGAUGGGCAGAAAGAGCCAGGGAGGGCCUCCUGGAGGAGGAGGUGGCACUUCAGCAGAAUCUUGAAGGCUGAGGAUUCCGCCAGGCUGGGAAGGUGUGGAGGGGUAGGAAACAGAGGGACCAGCAGAGAAUAAAACAGCAUGAAGGGUGCAGCAGACUUCUUCCUGGGUGCUGCGAGUUGCAGGGCCUGGGCAGAGCCAGGGUAUAGGGAGUGAUCAGGAGGGGAGUCCCGACAAGGAAGUGACAGGGGCCAGGCAGACACAGCAUGGCUUAAGAACAAUGAAGAACUUUGGACUCUCUCCUGGCCCAGAUGUGAAUCAAUCAUUUCUCCUCCUUGGUUUAGCUUCAAUGAGAAUUUUAAAAGAGAAUUUUUGCUAAAAUACAAAGGGAAAAGCAAACAAAUACGAAAGCAUAGAAACAAAAAGCUCAGAGAUCCCAGAUUUCUCAGCCUGCUCCACUAAGUUCUGGCCCUAGAUGGGCUUGGCCCCAGCCCUGUUUCUCUCCUCAACCCGGCCCAUGUGCAUGUCGGGACUGCCCAGCACAGGCCCUGUCCAUGGGUUCAACAAGGGGGCAGAU
rnacentral:lncRNA from 1 species